GUAGAACAUAGCAGGUAGGGGAUGGGUAUGGAAGUAGAGUGAGGCAAAUCUUGAAAGUCCUGGAGGAUGAUGAUGCCAUUUCAGAGUUGGUGUGUAGACAUAGAGGAGGCAUCUGACAUCGGGCCUUGAACCUGCCUUGAAAUUCUGGAUGCAUUUUCUCCCGAUGAGUUCUGUUUCAACAUGGGAGCAUUCUUUUUAACGAAUCCUUUAGAGUGGCUCCCUAGCGCAGUGGACAGCGUGUUGGACUUCUAACUAAUCCUUUGAUUCUGGCUCCCUGCCCCUUCCCAUUGUCAUGGAAGACGGCAGCUUUACUGCCCAGAGAGCUUGAGGACACCAAGUGCAGCUGAGUGCAAGACAGAUGUGCCUUACCAAGACAGGGCACCACCUCCAAGUUCAUAGGUCCUGUGUGUGUGAGCUGUUGACUUCUCAUGUUCACAUGGGUCAUGCUUUGCUCAGGAGAGCUGGUCUGUUGCUUCAAGCCAACCUAGCACGAGGGAAUCAAGAGAGCCACCACGUCCUAGGAACUGUUAGGAAGGUUCUUCCUGGCAUAGUUUUGGGACCUUGGACCUGGUCACACUCUGGGAGUGUUGGUGGGAAAGAAAGGAGACCUGACGGGCCAACGAGCAGCCUGGGAGCGCCUCAUGGACGGAGCUUCUAGCUGUGCGGACGCAGCUUCCUGACCCCUGCGGAGGCCCGCCCGGCCUGGUCACCGGCUUCGGCUCUCAGUGCUCACUGCUCCUCGACUGGCGGGUUAGCUGCGGCCCGAGACCCCGGUCCUGAGGUUGGAAGUCUUGGAAGGAAGGUGAAGUUGUGGAUGUGAUAAUAACGUGGAUUAAGGGUUUGAAAGAACGUAAGAUCUCGCUGCUUUCCACUCUGGGGUAUAGAAGAUUCAGAGAAAUGAGUCUCGGGCUCUGGUGUGAGCUCAGAAGUGCCUAGUAGCUUCACUUGUGGUGCUCAGUCUCCACAUGUGAAAGAUCCUCUGUGAACCUGUAUGAUGUCUAAUCUAUACAGGCCAAAUUGUUCUACAUGUUCCUUUUUCCUAUACAGACUUUCUUGAGGAUCCCUUCAAUCUGCAUUUCAGAAGAUGGGAAGGGAAGUCCACUAAAGUGCUCCCCACAGAAUGGGGUUCCCAGAGCAACGCUGUAGGACGUCAUCCCCCCAAAUCCUGACCCAACUGCGGCCAUGACCAAAUGGGUUUUGCUGCUUUAAAACACUGUUAGUGUUUUGUUACACAGCCUUGAAUUGCUAGAACAAGGGACAAUCAUGUCGCUGUCAGGAUGUUGGUGUGCAGUGAACAUCGUGGGAAGAAAAUACAUGGGGAUGUUGUGUGCUUGAAGAUUAAAAAAAAACGUGUUUUCAGAGGUGAUGAGAAAGAUGUGAUUUUAUAUCUGAAGUUAACUGUAGACAUAUUCUAAACCAUGUUUUAUCUCUGAGAAAAUUGAUUAUGAGGGAGGUGAAGAAGCUGGCUCUAUGUCAGCAGGUUACAUUGUGCCACAAUUGCUGCUUUCUGAAUUCCUGAAAAUGUUCAAUAUGGAGGAAGAUGAGAAUUAAAGUCUCUUAGUGACAACAUAAAGGUUAAUAAAAUUUAAAAGGACAGGAGGCUUCAAAUAUGACUUUCUAUUAAGUCUGUCAUAAACACAUAGGAAUAGACCCUGGCUUUUAAAAGGAAAAAGGCUAAAAAAAAUAAAUAAAUAAAUAAUAAAUAAAUAAAUAAAUAAAUAAAAGGAAAAAGGCUGAUAAAAACGUCUUUCCGCAGUAUGUCUGUAUAUUGACACUUGUGAUAUAUUUUAAGUGUAUUCUCCUUGUGUGAGCUGAAUAUACUCGUGGUAAUCACAGAGGGGAAAAAGGAGAGUCCGGGAUUCAUAGCCUCUUGUAUUAUGUGUACAUGUUUAUACACAUGAAAAUAUAUGGACAUGCAUUCCUAUUUUACAUCUAUAUUGAGCAUCACAAAAUCAAGAACUUUUAACAUCAUAGCCAGCAAAAACAGCUUACAUGUAGGUGUAAUUAGCAAUGUGAAGCUGCUGUGGAAGCCCCAUCACGUUCCUCAUGUUGGAUUAAAUGUUGAACUGUAGGAACAGAUUCUCCAUUCUCAACAUCAUCUCAGUUAUAAUCUAUAAAACAUCAUUUACUACACAUAAUGUCAAAAGCCGUGGCUUCAUUGAUAAAGGUACAUUAUGAAGAGGCAUAUGUAAGCAUUAAUCCUAUAAAGGAAAAAAACACAACAAAAAAGUUUUAGCUAUAGGAAGCCUUAAUGUAAGGAUGGAGAAAGGACCCCAUGCAUAGGUGGUGUCAUUUUGAGGACAAUUCUACAUCCUAUGGAGCCAAAGCUGACCUGUACAAAAUCCUAACUUCUCUCAUUAAUCACUCUGAACUGUUUCUAUCUCCCACACAUGAUAAUAACAUAAAUAUGGUUAUUGGAUUCAUUGAAGAGUAAAAUUUCUCAACACAGAUGGAUCUUUAAAGUGCCCAGUAUUCAUUUUAUGUGUCAUUCUUCUCUCUUUCCUAGUGCUUCUCUCUUUCCUAGUGAUGUUACUUCUCCAUUGCCCGUUUCAAACCUCAGACACAACCCAGGUGGCAGGAAGAGGUGAAGGUAUGGUUACUCUGAAGGCCGUGCCGAUAAAACAUGUAGGGUUUUUGGCGUUGGGCUCAUGUCUAGGUGACUCAAUGCAUGGAACUCACAUCCAGAAAAGAAGGUUACUGAGACCAGAAACUCACCAGAGAUGACUCUUGCAUGAACAGCGUUGUAGAGAGGUCAUAUAGCACAGGUGAUGUGGGUACCCAUGGUACCAUAUUAAUCCCAGCUCAGUCGUCCAAUAGUUUUGUCUUUAACAAUUUCAACAAUAUUUACACCAAUUUAAUGGAAUUCACAAAAUAAUUAAAUGAGUAAAUUAAUAUAAGUACUUAGAGUUUCAGAAUAUAAAUUCUUAAUUGAUGGUAAAUACUGCUAGCUAUUUUUCAUGAUAACUUGUUCUCAUGCACAAGUAAAUCUUUAAUAAGAUUAAUAAAGUUAAUGUCAAGUUAAUUCGUGAUGGGUACAAUUUCAAUUUACUGUUAUAUUUUAGUAUAAAAUAUAUUAAUCAUGUGGAAAAUACAGAGAGUCAUGUAAAAACAGCAGCAUACCCAUCACUCAGCUUUUAAAAAAUCUUGAUACUCUUUCAUUUUAACUUUAGAGUUUGUUUUGUUCAAAAAAUAAAACUAUGUACAUACUGGUAGCCCUUGGUACACAAGAACCAAUCCCAUUUUCUUUCCUUGCAAUCCAAAGAGAAUCUUGUUAGUACAUGUAGAAUGUCAUCCUUAUGUUUUCCUACCUUUAAAAGUAUAUUACUGUAAGCUUUUCAAAAAUUGUUUUUUUAGAUUUGUGCAUCUCUCUCUCUGUCUCUAAGUAUCUCUGUCUCUCUACACAUAUGUAUACAUACAAUGUAUGCUCAUUUUGUAUAUAUAUAUAUACAUAUAACUAUAACUGUACAACUGUAUAACUGUUGUUAACUGUAUAACUGUAUAACUGCCGUAUAACUGUAUAACUGUUAUAAGCUUCCCAUGUAUGAAUAUAUUAGGCUUAAAAUCUA